rnacentral:rRNA from 1 species
GAUGAACGCUGGCGGCGUGCCUAAUACAUGCAAGUCGAGCGAACAGACGAGGAGCUUGCUCCUUUGACGUUAGCGGCGGACGGGUGAGUAACACGUAGGUAACCUACCUAUAAGACUGGGAUAACUUCGGGAAACCGGAGCUAAUACCGGAUAAUAUUUCGAACCGCAUGGUUCGAUAGUGAAAGAUGGCUUUGCUAUCACUUAUAGAUGGACCUGCGCCGUAUUAGCUAGUUGGUAAGGUAACGGCUUACCAAGGCAACGAUACGUAGCCGACCUGAGAGGGUGGACGCCCCACCUGAAAGGUAAACAGGGCCCGACCCCACACGGGAGGCAGGAAGAGGGAAUCUAUCGCAAUGGGCGAAAGCAAGCCGGAACAACCCCGGGGGAGUGAAGAAGGACUGCGGUAUGGAAAAUAAUCUUCUUUGGGAAAAAAAAACGCGUAAUUAAGCGAGCGAGUCUGAACGGACCCUAAGAAGAAGGCCCGGCUAACUCCGUG